GACGAACGCUGGCGGCGUGCUUAACACAUGCAAGUCGAACGAAGUGGCGAACGGGUGAGUAACGCGUAAUCAACCUGCCCUUCAGAGGGGGACAACAGUUGGAAACGACUGCUAAUACCGCAUACUGAAGGAGGGGAUUGCGUCUGAUUAGCUAGUUGGAGAGGUAACGGCUCACCAAGGCGAUGAUGGGUAGCCGGCCUGAGAGGGUGAUCGGCCACAAGGGGACUGAGACACGGCCCUUACUCCUACGGGAGGCAGCAGUGGGGAAUAUUGCACAAUGGACGAAAGCCUGAUGCAGCGACGCCGCGUGGGGGAUGAAGGCUUUCGGGUUGUAAACCUCUUUCGCUAUCGAACGGGUAGGUGGAGAAGAAGCGCCGGCUAACUACGUGCCAGCAGCCGCGGUAAUAC
rnacentral:rRNA from 1 species